GUUUCUAUCUACAAUGUUUAGUCCCAACUUUUCUGAGGCCUAGUACGCAAGGAAUGGUCUCAGCGAUGCACGACUAUUGGCCCAUCGACGUAAUCAACUUCUGGCCGCCGCAAAGAGGGAAUACAAAAGGUUGGGGAUUAA
rnacentral:rRNA from 2 species